rnacentral:rRNA from 1 species
GCAAUGAAAGCAAAGUCGGGUGUGACKCCGAACGAGUUGGGAUCCCCGGGCCUACGAGCUCGGGGCGCACCAACGGCCCGCCCUGUCCGAUUCAUCGGUUGGGCGGAGCUUGAGCAUACACGUUGGGACCCGAAAGAUGGUGACCUAUGCCC